rnacentral:tRNA from 1 species
GCCCCAGUAGCUCAGGAGGAAAGAGCAGCGGUUUCCUAAACCGCGUGUCGGCGGUUCGAGUCCGUCCUGGGGCACCA